UGCCAGCAGCCGCGGUAAUACGGAGGGGGCAAGCGUUAUUCGGAUUUACUGGGCGUAAAGCGCACGUAGGUGGCAUGGUAAGCCAAAGGUGAAAGCCCUCGGCUCAACCGAGGAAUUGCCUUUGAAACUGCUUUGCUUGAGUCCGGGAGGGGGGAGCGGAAUUCCCAGUGUAGCGGUGAAAUGCGUAGAUACUGGGAGGAACACCGGUGGCGAAGGCGGCUCCCUGGACCGGUACUGACACUGAGGUGCGAAAGCGUGGGUAGCAAACAGGAUUAGAUA
rnacentral:rRNA from 1 species